CAAGGGGGUGCUUACACAUGCAGUCGAGCGGAAUCUUUAGGGAUUUAGUGGCGGACGGGUGAGUAACGCGUGAGAAUCUGGCUUCAGGUCUGGGACAACCACUGGAAACGGUGGCUAAUACCGGAUGUGCCGAGAGGUGAAAGGCUUGCUGCCUGAAGAUGAGCUUGCGUCUGAUUACCUAGUUGGUGGGGUAAGAGCCUACCAAGGCGACGAUCAGUAGCUGGUCUGAGAGGAUGAUCAGCCACACUGGGACUGAGACACGGCCCGACUCCUACGGGAGGCAGCAGUGGGGAAUUUUCCGCAAUGGGCGAAAGCCUGACGGAGCAAUACCGCGUGAGGGAGGAAGGCUCUUGGGUUGUAAACCUCUUUUCUCAGGGAAGAAAAAAAUGACGGUACCUGAGGAAUAAGCAUCGGCUAACUCCGUGCCAGCAGCCGCGGUAAUACGGAGGAUGCAAGCGUUAUCCGGAAUGAUUGGGCGUAAAGGGUCCGCAGGUGGCUGUGUAAGUCUGCUGUUAAAUAGUCAUGCUCAACAUGAUCAAGGCAGUGGAAACUACAUAGCUAGAGUGCGUUCGGGGCAAAGGGAAUUCCUGGUGUAGCGGUGAAAUGCGUAGAAUAA
rnacentral:rRNA from 1 species